rnacentral:rRNA from 1 species
UACGUAGGGGGCUAGCGUUGUCCGGAUUUAUUGGGCGUAAAGAGCGUGUAGGCGGCCAGGUAAGUCUGGUGUGAAAACUCGAGGCUUAACCUCGAGAUGUCAUCGGAAACUAUCUGGCUAGAGUCCGGAAGAGGAAAGUGGAAUUCCUGGUGUAGCGGUGAAAUGCGUAGAUAUCAAGAGGAACACCUGCGGCGAAGGCGGGUUGCUGGGCCGACACUGACGCUGAGGCGCGAAAGCUAGGGGAGCGAACGGG